CGAGACCUCAGUCAGACGG
rnacentral:rRNA from 1 species